rnacentral:lncRNA from 1 species
AUCAAGAACAAAUAUUAAAUUAUAAUAAAAUAAAAGAUAGAAAUAUUCAUUUUAAUAUAACAUGAGAUCAUCAUAGAAAAAAAAUUAAUUAAAUGUUUUAAAAGUGCUAGAUGUUAUUUGAAAAGGUUAGAGGAUGGGUAGAGUGUUGACACUUAAAGUUUUAAAAGCAUUUUAGAUACUUAAAAAAUGAAAACAUGGAAGAAGCUUAAAUUU